rnacentral:tRNA from 1 species
GGUGAAUUGGCUCAGCGGUUAGAGGGUACGUCUCGUAACCGAAAGGUAGCGGUUUCGAAUCCCGCUAGAGACUG